rnacentral:rRNA from 1 species
GGAAUUCGCUAGUGGUGCGGGGCUAACACAGUGCGAGUCGAACGGCAGCAUGGAAGAGCUUGCUCUUCUGAUGGCGAGUGGCGAACGGGUGAGUAAAGCAUCGGAACGUACCGUGUAAUGGGGGAUAACGUAGCGAAAGUUACGCUAAUACCGCAUAGGACCUGAGGGUGAAAGCAGGGGAUCGCAAGACCUUGCGUUAUACGAGCGGCCGAUGUCAGAUUAGCUAGUUGGUAGGGUAAAGGCCUACCAAGGCGACGAUCUGUAGCGGGUCUGAGAGGAUGAUCCGCCACACUGGGACUGGGACACGGCCCAGACUCCUACGGGAGGCAGCAGUGGGGAAUUUUGGACAAUGGGGGCAACCCUGAUCCAUCCAAGGCGCGUGAGUGAAGGAGGCCUUCGGG